UACGUAGGGUGCGAGCGUUAAUCGGAAUUACUGGGCGUAAAGCGUGCGUAGGCGGUUCUCCAAGUCCGUUGUGAAAGCCCCGGGCUCAACCUGGGAAUGGCAGUGGAAACUAGGGGACUGGAAUCUGGCAGAGGGGGGUGGAAUGCCGCGUGUAGAGGUGAAAUUCGUAGAUAUUCGCAAGAACACCAGUGGCGAAGGCGGCUCACUGGCCCGAUACUGACGCUGAGGCACGAAAGCGUGGGGAGCAAACAGG
rnacentral:rRNA from 1 species